rnacentral:lncRNA from 1 species
AGACCUAUUUAUUGAAAUUUAAAACCGUUGCAUUCGUGCCAAGUGAAAAACUCUUGUGGAGAGACAGAAAAAAGAUGCUCUGCAUAAAAAAGAGAAAGGAAGGCCUCCUCCGCCGGUGAUGGUGGUGCAUCAACUGGGCCAACAGUGGCGCACAGCCUGAGGUGGUAGUGGCUCGCCUGGUGCGCUGAAAGCUAGCCUGCAGGUGCACAAGUCCCAGGUACACAGGGGCCUAUCCGCGUAGGCCUACUAUGCAGACAGCGCAUGCACAGUUUGUAGUGCCUUUCUAUGCGCGACAGGAUGCUCACAGGUUUUAAUCAGGCACUAUGCACGUGGAUGGGAUGAGCACGUUGUGCGUAGGUCCCGUAUCUACUAUGUUGUGAGGACGUCCUACAUCUGUUGUGUGAUACCAUCUCAUCAGAGGACACGACGUC